rnacentral:rRNA from 1 species
GAAGGCCCGAGCGUUGCGCGGAAUCACUGGGGCUUAAAGCGUACGUAGGCGGACAUGCAGGCAUCUUGUGAAAGCCCUCGGGCUCAACCGAGGAACUGCAGGGUGAACCGCAUGUCUUGAGGUGAGUAGGGGCUGUCGGAACGAUAGGUGGAGCGGUGAAAUGCGUUGAUAUCUAUCGGAACGCCAAAGGCGAAGGCAGACAGCUGGGCUUAUUCUGACGCUGAGGUACGAAAGCGUGGGGAGCGAACGGGAUUAGAUACCCCGGUAGUCCACGCCGUAAACGAUGUGCACUAGAUCGAGGGAGUUCUGACACUAUUCUCGGUCGAGGCAAAAGUGUUAAGUGCACCGCCUGGGGAGUACGGUCGCAAGGCUA